GAUGAACGCUAGCUACAGGCUUAACACAUGCAAGUCGAGGGGAAACGGCAUUAAGUGCUUGCACUUUUUGGACGUCGACCGGCGCACGGGUGAGUAACGCGUAUCCAACCUUCCCAUGACUAAGGGAUAACCUGCCGAAAGGCAGACUAAUACCUUAUGGUCUUCACUGACGGCAUCAGAUGUGAAGUAAAGAUUUAUCGGUUAUGGAUGGGGAUGCGUCUGAUUAGCUUGUUGGCGGGGUACCGGCCCACCAAGGCAACGAUCAGUAGGGGUUCUGAGAGGAAUGCCCCCCACAGUGAACUUGAAACACCGCCCAUACUCCAAUGGGAGGACUAUUAAGAAAUAUUGAUCAAGGGGGGGAGUUCCUCCCCCCCCCUCUUGGUGUGGGGGAGGACGGCCCCUCGGCGUUGUAUACUCCUUUUUUGAUGGCUCUAAUAAAUUUUGUGUUUGUUUCUGUGCAAAGUA
rnacentral:rRNA from 1 species